GAUUUAACAUUUUUAUUUAUUUAUCUAGAUUAACAAUUUAUUUUUUCCAAAAUGUAAAAAGACACUUAUUUUAUAGGAAGACGAUAAGACCCUAUUGAACUUAACUUAAGUUAAACUGGGGUAGUAAUUUAAUUUUUAUCUUAAAAACUUUAAUAAAAUAUAUAACUAUAUAAUUAAUUAAUCAAGUUACCAUAGGGAUAACAGCGCAAUUUAUAUUUAAAGAUCUUAUUCAAAUAUUAGAUUACGACCUCGAUGUUGAAUUAAUAACCCUUUUAAAGAAAAUUUUAAAUAAGGAAGUCUGUUCGACUUUUCUAUAAUUACAUGAUUUGAGUUCAGACCGGCUUAAGCCAGGUCGGUUUCUAUCUCCUAUAAAAUAUAAUACAGUACGAAAGGACCUAUUAUCAUUAUUUAAUAUCUAAUUGGCAGAUAAAUGCAUUAGAAUUAGAAUCUAAAAAAAAU
rnacentral:rRNA from 1 species